rnacentral:misc_RNA from 1 species
UUUCCGUAGGUGAACCUGCGGAAGGACCAUUAACACGUUCCAAACCAAAACUAAACCAAUCUGUGAACUUGUAUCUGGCCAUUACAACUUUGGGUUGCGCUUUUUGCAGUAUAUUUGAGAGUAGAUGGCGGUUAACCGGAAAUAAGCGGCUAUGGCAGUGCCGUACAAAUUUCUAGCUUUUGCGAACCUGUUUUUCUUCUUGCAAGUAUCUCUUAACACGACUGAGAUUUACCGAGAAAGUCAUUAAUUCGGCUUUUCAGCAAAUACUAACUCAAAGGAGGCCCCAAAAUAAAGUUGGCAGUUGACCAUCAAGUGUUCGCUUUAUUAACCCCGUUUAUUACACGCCCUAAAUUAAGAAAACUAUCAGUCAAAUGAUGGGAGUCCUGAAUUAAAAAAAUAAAAAUACGAUAAUUUGUACCACUGAUGUGUCGGUGAGUUUUAAAGCGCGACUUUUGACUGCAGCGUGUAAAACCAAAAAUAGAGUAUACAACUCUUAGCAAUGGAUAUCUUGGUUCUC